rnacentral:rRNA from 1 species
GAGUUUGAUCCUGGCUCAGAACGAACGCUGGCGGCGUGCCUAACACAUGCAAGUCGAACGUGAUCCAGAGCUUGCUCUGGUGAAAGUGGCGCACGGGUGAGUGACGCGUGGAUAACCUACCCUGGUAUCCGGGAUAACAUUCCGAAAGGGGUGCUAAUACCGGAUAAGCCCACGGGCUCUUUGGAGCUUGCGGGAAAAGGUGGCCUCUAUUUAUAAGCUACUGUAUCAGGAUGGGUCCGCGUACCAUUAGCUAGUUGGCGGUGUAACGGACCACCAAGGCGACGAUGGUUAGCUGGUCUGAGAGGAUGAUCAGCCACACUGGAACUGAGACACGGUCCAGACUCCUACGGGAGGCAGCAGUGGGGAAUUUUGCGCAAUGGGGGAAACCCUGACGCAGCAACGCCGCGUGAGUGAUGAAGGCCUUUGGGUCGUAAAGCUCUGUCAGAGGGGAAGAAAUGAUAUAGUGCUAAUACCACUUUAUCUUGACGGUACCCUCAAAGGAAGCACCGGCUAACUCCGUGCCAGCAGCCGCGGUAAUAC